AACGAACGCUGGCGGCAUGCCUAACACAUGCAAGUCGAACGGACCCUCCGGGGUCAGUGGCGCACGGGUGCGUAACGCGUGGGAAUCUGCCUUUAGGUUCGGAAUAACUCGGGGAAACCCGAGCUAAUACCGGAUAAUGUCUUCGGACCAAAGAUUUAUCGCCUAGAGAUGAGCCCGCGUCGGAUUAGCUUGUUGGUGAGGUAAAAGCUCACCAAGGCGACGAUCCGUAGCUGGUCUGAGAGGAUGAUCAGCCACACUGGGACUGAGACACGGCCCAGACUCCUACGGGAGGCAGCAGUGGGGAAUAUUGGACAAUGGGCGAAAGCCUGAUCCAGCAAUGCCGCGUGAGUGAUGAAGGCCUUAGGGUUGUAAAGCUCUUUUACCCGGGAUGAUAAUGACAGUACCGGGAGAAUAAGCUCCGGCUAACUCCGUGCCAGCCGCCGCCGUAAGAC
rnacentral:rRNA from 1 species